GUUUUAUACCUGCUAGGGUGCUCAUAUCUACUAGGGUACGUCAUAGACGCCAUUUUGUCUGUCGCGGUUUGACGUAUCGACUCCUCAUUCGUUAACCUCUGCUCGCGGAGUUCAAGGGCAUAGCUGUUGAAUAUAUGCCUAAAUGUAAAAUGCCUAAUAUAAAAAGGACCUGAUCGCGUUAAUGCUGACGGUCAACUAUAUUGGUAAACCGUAGUAAUAAUACCCGAAGCACCGUUGUGGUCAAGUAAGGUCCACGUUUGUGUAGCGGCAAAUAACAGUCACACUGUGAUUGAAGUUUUUUUUUUAUCGUUUUGUUUGCCAUGGAUUGGUUAGUUAGUUUAGCUAACGGAAGCUACCCAAGCUUACGCUAGCCACCUCCACCCACACACACACACACACACAUUUGACGAUCGUAUCCAAGCUGUUAUUGAAUAAACUUCAACUUCAACGACUACUUAACACGUACGACCUCCUGUAAAGGUUUACCUACAGAGAGGCACACCUAGGAACCAAAGCAACCAAAGCAACAUCCAUGGACCCACACCUGGCAUACUAAGCACCUGAAGAGCCAACACAAAGCCGAUCAGGACAUGCCCCCCACUUUACUCCGCUCUUCCCCCUCACUAUGGCUCCCUUAAAGUAUCCCUUAGAACAGGCAUGCAAUUGUUAACACAUUUAAUACCCAUUUGUUUACAUAUUUACUACAAACAUGUUCCUACCUAAACUGACAUGUAAAAGAAGGGAUCCUUGGAACUGGGGUACUCUUCUUUUUGCUGGACCACUGGUCAGGAACUACCAUGCUUACUGUUUCAGCAAUAGUGAGGUUAUGGCUGCAAUAUCAGUGGUACACUGCUCUACGGUGUCCUCGACAUCGCCCACACGGAGGAGUGUAAAUGGCAGAGACUAUGCUGCUGAGGUAAAUGUCCCUGUGAUCCUGAUUUUCAUUACAAUAUUAUGUCUGGUCCACUGUUUUAAUAUUGUCGCUCGGCCAACCUGUGCUUUUAUGGAUCCUGGGGUUAGGGCUGGCCCUGAUAGUGUUGUUGCCCUAGCCUAGACUUUACAUUUGCCCCCCCCCCCCCCCCCAAACUAUGACACACUAUGCUCUACCUCCAAAUGAUGAUACUGAUCUCACUUCUAUUGAAUACUAAGAUACUAAUUUAUAUUAAUUGAUGUUUGCAUGCUCGUCCAUGAAACAUGACCUGUUGUAUUUCAUUUGAUAGCUAUAUCAAUGUUCAGAAAGGGUAUGGGGUGGUAGUAGAGUAGUUCAGUAAGAGGAUGACGGUAGUGCCAAGUAUCCCUUCCUUUUCACAUUUGAAUUUCAGGAGGACAUAAAAAUGUUUUUAGACGAUUGUGUGUUUGCACAAGGCCUCACAGCUGCGAGCAGAUUUUUGAAAUCAACCCAUGGUAAGGAGGAGUGCAGUGAAGCAAGGGAUCCUGAGUAAUUGUUGGUUCAUGACCUCAGCAUACAGAGACCCUCCACUUGAAGACCUAACUUCCUGCAAUCACCCGACACUAAAUGUCUUACAUUGAAAUAAAAGAUAAAACAACUCUGUACACUGUCAUAGUUCUGCAAUGUUUAUAUGUGUAUUUUUUUUUUCAAAUGUAAUGUAAGCCAAGUUGCAUUGAAACAGAGGUGGUGACAUGGUUCUGUGCAAAAGUUUUAGGCAGGUGUGAAAAAAUGCUGUAAAUCAUCAAGUCUGUCUAGGAUUACAUGAAGAGACAGAAGGAUUUGAGGAAGCCUACAUCCAAGAAGAUCUGUGGUUAGUUCUCCAAGAUGUUUGGAACAACGUACCAGCUAAGUUCCUUCAAAAACUGUGUGCUAGUGUACCUAGAAGAAUCACACCACAUAUUGAUUUGAUCUAGAUUUCUCUUCUGUUCAUUCACUGCAUUUUAUUAAUUGAUGAAAAAAUUAACACUUCCAUUUUGAAAGCAUUCUUAGUUUACAGCAUUUGUUUCACACCUGCCUGAAACUUUUGCACAGUACUGUAUAUCAGAGACAGUUUAAUUAUCAAAGAAAAUUAAUUGAUAUUGGAGAAAGUAUUGAUGGCAUACGUGUUGUAAAUAAACCAAGUGUUUCGACAUUCA